UAUUACGUGUAGCCAAAUUAGUUCUUAGUUGUUACUGUUUGUUGCUGAACCGUGGGCUUUCAUGGUCUAUGUACUCAUGGUGACGAUGCUGAUAAAAAUAUUAAAACGUGAUGUCUUCAACCGAGUUCCGGAGAUGAAAGGAGCGUCUUGUUUCCGUUUCCUGCAUUGGUUUAUGGACGUGGUAGCCUACGUUCUCCUUUGAAAGUGGAUUUGCAUAGAGAGUUGAGGCCAGAAGACAAGGCAUUUCGGACCAGUUCCUCCCAGGAGCUUUUUUCAUUAUGUGUGGAUUAAUGGAGGGUUUGGAUUCUCUUUUGUUGCAUCUGUGGAGUCUGAAACUAACCGUUCUGAAACCAUGGUGAAGGUCA